UCGAGAAUCUUGGGCAAUGCACGAAAGUGUGACCCAGCGACGCCGCGUGGAGGAUGAAGGCCCUCUGGGUUGUAAACUCCUUUUACGGGAGAAGAAGAUCUGACGGUAUCCCGUGAAUAAGCCACGGCUAACUACGUGCCAGCAGCCGCGGUAAUACGUAGGUGGCAAGCGUUGUCCGGAUUUACUGGGCGUAAAGCGAGCGCAGGCGGACCGUUAAGUAGGAAGUGAAAGGUCGGAGCUCAACUCCAACAUUGCUUUCUAUACUGGCGGUCUUGAGUCACGGAGGGGAAAGCGGAACGACACGUGUAGCGGUGAAAUGCGUUGAUAUGUGUCGGAACACCAAUGGCGAAGGCAGCUUUCUGGACGAUGACUGACGCUCAGGCUCGAAAGCCAAGGUAGCGAACA
rnacentral:rRNA from 1 species